UAAACGACUCUCGGCAACGGAUAUCUCGGCUCUCGCAUCGAUGAAGAACGUAGCGAAAUGCGAUACUUGGUGUGAAUUGCAGAAUCCGUGAACCAUCGAGUCUUUGAACGCAAGUUGCGCCCAAGACCUUCGGGUCGAGGGCACGUCUGCCUGGGUGUCACGC
rnacentral:rRNA from 1 species